rnacentral:piRNA from 1 species
UUUCACAGAUGGGGAAACUGAGG